rnacentral:rRNA from 1 species
GACGAACGCUGGCGGCGUGCCUAAUACAUGCAAGUCGAGCGAAUCUUUUGGGAGCUUGCUCCCGAAAGAUUAGCGGCGGACGGGUGAGUAACACGUGGGCAACCUGCCUAUAAGACUGGGAUAACUUCGGGAAACCGGAGCUAAUACCGGAUACGUUCUUUUCUCGCAUGAGAGAAGAUGGAAAGACGGUCUCGGCUGUCACUUAUAGAUGGGCCCGCGGCGCAUUAGCUAGUUGGUGGGGGAAUGGCUCACCAAGGCGACGAUGCGUAGCCGACCUGAGAGGCUGAUCGGCCAAACUGGGACUGAGCCACGGCCCAGACUCCUACGGGGGGCAGCAGUAGGGAAUCUUCCGCAAUGGACGAAAGUCUGACGGAGCAACGCCGCGUGAACGAAGAAGGCCUUCGGGUCGUAAAGUUCUGUUGUUAGGGAAGAACAAGUACCAGAGUAACUGCUGGUACCUUGACGGUACCUAACCAGAAAGCCACGGCUAACUACGUGCCAGCCGCCGCAGUAACAC